GCAUGCUCUAUAUUGUUUUGUCACAUGCACUUUGGUCUAUAUAUGAUGGGAGAUUUUGUACAUGAACAAAAGAAACAAAGAGUUGUGGUGAAGAAGAGCAAGGCCAAGAAAGACUCCAACAAGCCCAAGCGCCCCCUGAGCGCCGUCUUAGUCCUCAUAUGGAGAGGGUGCUCAAGGAUGAUGCCAUCCAGGAUAAGGGCGAGCGCGCCAGGAUGGUAACCACCCCCUCCCAUCUGAUCUGCUUGUUUUCCUUCUUGG